rnacentral:rRNA from 1 species
GACAGAGGUUGCAAACGUUGUUCGGAAUUACUGGGCAUAAAGCGCACGUAGGCGGUUCGUUAAGUCAUGUGUGAAAUCCCCCGGCUCAACCGGGGAAUUGCGCCUGAUACUGGCGGGCUAGAGAUCGAUAGGGGUGAGUGGAACUCCAGGUGGAGCGGUGAAAUGCGUAGAUAUCUGGAGGAACACCGGUGGCGAAAGCGGCUCACUGGAUCGAUACUGACGCUGAGGUGCGAAAGCUAGGGUAGCAAAC